rnacentral:lncRNA from 1 species
UGGCAAGUCGCGACAACAGAUACCACUCCACUCCCCGCAACAGGCUCCACGUGGCAGGCCACGGUGAUGGCCACGAUUCUACUCCACUACUCUUCAUAACAAACUCCUCCUGGCCCCGAACGGCCUGCUGCCAGACAGUUACAAACAUCGCUAUCAGUAUGUUGCACCCUCUGCCUAUAAAAAGGGGACCCCAGAUACGUUAUUCUCUAAGCUCUAAUUUUUAUCUCAAAACUCUGCUAAAAUUUUCGUUCGAGCACUCCAUUCUUGUUG